GAGGGUAUAGCUCAAGUGGUAGAGCACAUGCUUAGCAUGCAUGAGGUCCUGGGUUCAAUCCCCAGUACAUUCA
rnacentral:tRNA from 1 species